rnacentral:lncRNA from 1 species
UGUGGAAAAAAUAAUGUGUUCCAACUUAAGUCAUUUGUAAAUACUUUCAGGGAUGUAAUAGAGCGUUGUGUGUUCUUGACUUUAAUGCAAAAGUCUAUUAUGCCCUAUUUACAGUGUUCAUCUAUCUAUCUAUCUACCUAUCUAUCUAUCUAUCUAUUUUUUCAAUGUUCUCAAUGUCCUAUUUACAGUGUUCAUGAGAGACAGUGCUGGAAAGGAUUGAUAUCUAAGUUUACUGUGCUAGAUCAGUAGUUAAAAACUGAGAAGCAGUAAUAUGUUGUCAAUAAAUAUUCAUGUCAUAUAACUAAAUUCCCUAUUCAUAGUCUAUGCUCUCCAAGAAGCUUUUGAUAGCCUGGUUUUCAUGCUGCCUUCCUGUAGUGAUAAAAAGUUCUCAUUAGGUACAUUACUUCUAGGCUGUUUGAAAAUAUAUGAGAGCAAAUAGAAACAGCAAUUAAAAAAUAUGUAAGACUGUUAG